AGGAGCCCCAGCGAGUCUGGGCGGAGAUGGGGGCAGAGCUGCAGAAGGGAGCCGGACUUGGUGGCGCAUGACUUCACUUCCAGCACUGGGGAGGCAGAGGUCAGUUUCUCUCCUGGAGGAAACAGGACACAAAGGCAUGUGCCCCUCUUCAAGUUUAGAACAUCUUCCACCGAUGGAGCAACUGAAACCCCACGUAGAUUAGGCAGAACGUGAGCUUGAAUCUGAGGGCACUCCUCCUCAUCUUCCCGGCACCUACUCCGUCUACCUGUCCAGGUUCUGUAACUCCUACAGCCACCUGACAGUGGGCUGAAGGCCCCACAUCCCGUACAGGGACUCCAGCACACUAACAGACCUAGGAGAGUGUCUGCUGAAUGAAUGAAUGUGCUGGGAGAGUUGAGCCUGUAAUCGCAGCACUAGGAGGUGGCCAGUGGAUCAAGGGUUCAAGUCAUCCUUGCCUAC